rnacentral:sRNA from 1 species
CAGCGGUGGUGGCCGAUUCCCAUUAUCAAGGCAAAAUCCACGCCAAGAGGUUAAAACUCUUGCUAGGAGAGAAGACCCCAUUAAAGACCACAGCAACACCCCUGAGCCCACUUAAGCCCCCACGGAUGGACACUGCUCCGGCGGUCGCAUCUCCCUAUCAAAGAAGAGAUUCAGACAGAUACUGUGGGCUCUGUGCAGCCUGGUUUAAUAACCCUCUGAUGGCCCAGCAACAUUAUGAUGGCAAGAAACACAAAAAGAAUGCGGCAAGAGUUGCUUUGUUAGAACAACUGGGGACAACCCUGGAUAUGGGGGAACUGAGAGGUAAGGGCAGCUCUUCUCACUUCUGCCACAAAACUGGGCUUUCAGAGAAAAGAUGGGGCUUUCACAAAUCGGAAUGAUUCUUCUUCUUGCUUUAAUUAUUAAGGAAAAAGUGAGGCUCACCCAAAAGAAAUGGACAAGAAAGGAAAUGAGCAGAAGGCUUGCUUUAGUUUAAUUUUUAUAAUCUCCUUUGUUUCAAAGUGUUAAUUUCCAUAUUUUUAUUGACUGCUUUUCAGACCAAAGGCACAUUCAUGAACCAGAUUGUUUUCCUUCUGCUUUAUCUUUAACUGCCUUCUUUAACAAAUGCUUUUGUAGAGUAGCAGUGUUUAAAAAAGAAAAAAAA